rnacentral:rRNA from 1 species
UAAACAUUGAUAGUAUGUUACAUUUUCUAUCCGCCCGGGGACUACGAGCAUCAGCUUAAAACCCAAAGGACUUGGCGGUGCUUAAGAUCCACCUAGAGGAGCCUGUUCUAGAACCGAUAAUCCCCGUUCAACCUCACCCUCUCUUGUCUCUCCCGCCUAUAUACCGCCGUCGUCAGCUUACCCUGUGAGGGGCAAAUAGUAAGCAAAAUUGGCACAGCCCAAAACGUCAGGCCGAGGUGUAGCGUAUGAGGGGGGAAAAAAUGGGCUACAUUUCCUAAGCUAGGAAAUACGGACACUGUACUGAAACGUACAAUUGAAGGAGGAUUUAGCAGUAAGCAGGAAAUAGAGUGUUCUGCUGAAAUUGGCCCUAAAGCGCGCACAUACCGCCCGUCACUCUCCCCAAGCUCCCACAUGCCUAUAAUUAAUAAAACAAAAUUGCAAAGGGGAGGCAAGUCGUAACAUGGUAAGUGUACCGGAAGGUGCACUUGGAUAAC